CUCGAACGUAAGAUGACUGUAGGUGAAAGCUUACAUCUCUUCGGAGCAUUUUACGAGGUGCUGCAUGGUUGUCGUCAGCUCGUGCCGUGAGGUGUCGGGUUAAGUCCCAUAACGAGCGCAACCCUACCUUUAGUUGCCAUCAGGUAAUGCUGGGGACUCUAAAGGAACUGCCUACGCAAGUAGUGAGGAAGGCGGGGAUGACGUCAAAUCAGCACGGCCCUUACGUCCAGGGCUACACACGUGCUACAAUGGCCGAUACAGAGGGCAGCUACCUGGUGACAGGAUGCAAAUCUCCAAAGUCGGUCUCAGUUCGGAUCGGAGUCUGCAACCCGACUCCGUGAAGUUGGAUUCGCUAGUAAUCGCGCAUCAGCCAUGGCGCGGUGAAUACGUUCCCGGGCCUU
rnacentral:rRNA from 1 species